AGUAACAAUGGAGGAGAAGGGGCAGUUUCUAGAAGGAGAAGGAGGCACUGGAGCAGAUACAAAUAAUUCCUGCCUACAAAAUUCUUCCCCAUCUCUCCUCCUAUCAUAAAAGUGUCAGCUUUCACCACUGAUAAUGCAGCUACAAGGACCAGAGUUGAACUUCAAGCAAGAGACUCACAGACAAAGGCACCCUGGGCCAGUGGCACACACUAGCUUUAUCAAAGAGACUCAGGGACAAGUAUGCCUGGUCUGUACUGCAGCUUGCCAAUUAGCUGGAUGAACAGCUGGCUAAUUUCUGUUUUAUCUCUUGGGCAGAAGACACAUGAGGCUAGAAUAGGUAUCUUCAAUGGGGAGCCGAGCUAAGGCCUCAUCAAAAACGGAAACAGAGCACCCAAGAUGAAGAUGCUGUUAGCCUUUGCAGUCUCGACAUAAGUGAACCUAGUAAUAAACGGGUCAAACCCCUUUCCCGAGUCACGUCACUAGCAAACCUCAUCCCGCCCGUGAAGGCCACGCCAUUAAAGCGCUUCAGUCAAACCCUGCAGCGCUCCAUUAGCUUCCGCAGUGAGAGCCGCCCUGACAUCCUCGCCCCCCGACCCUGGUCCAGAAAUGCCGCCCCCUCGAGCACGAAACGGAGAGAUAGCAAGCUGUGGAGUGAGACCUUCGAUGUGUGCGUCAAUCAGAUGCUUACAUCCAAGGAAAUCAAACGUCAGGAGGCGAUCUUUGAGCUUUCCCAAGGAGAAGAAGACUUGAUAGAAGACUUGAAAUUAGCAAAAAAGGUAAAUUUAA
rnacentral:sRNA from 1 species